AAUAAAAAUGUAAAAUAUAAUGUUACCAUGGGCACAAAAUCGGCCAAGGAGGGAGAAGGCGGUGCGGCUGAUUGGGUGAAACAGAGAGAGAUUCACCACCGACAAUGGCGGAUCGGCUUCAUCCCUACCCUCUCAACAAAAUUCCGAGGGAAAGGUUGGAAUGUCUUCCCCAACCCAUGCGGGUUCUCAUCCAUAGGCCAUGAGGAAGAAACGCGAAUGAACUUUGUGCCACAGUUUUUCUAACUUGGGAAGAAGACAACAAGAUAUGCUGAACAGACAAAGCGUGCAACUGCAGUGGAAGGGAACCAGCCAAACAACUUUGAUGCAACUUCUUUUGUUGGGAGAAAGAAAGCCUUCACUAUAGGGAGAAAGAAAUGGUUGUCCAUACAAACGCCAAAUUAGUUUUUGAAGUUAUUACUUUAACCCCAAAGAGAAGGGUUGAUGAAAGUAGGGCUACUGUUGUUCAUAUCUUUACUUUAGGAAGGGCUAUACCAUUUUGGUUAGAUAAUACUUUACAUUCUGAACGAGACGUACGUUUCUGUACACGUAGGUUCGAGUAGGUUGAUAAGUUCCAUAUGUAGAAUUGGCAUAGUUUCUUAGGUUGAAGACAAAAGUUGGAAAGCACAUCUAAAAUAAUGUGUUCCCUAUCUUAUCAAUCCAAUUCUUUAAGGCAACGAGGAGUUAAGUUAUCGUUGA